GUUGAACGCUGGCGGCGUGCCUAAUACAUGCAAGUAGAACGCAGUUGCGAACGGGUGAGUAACGCGUAGGUAACUGCCUCAUAGCGGGGGGAAACUAUUGGAAACGAUAGGUAAUACCGCAAACUGUGAGAUGGACCUGUGUUGUAUUAGCUAGUUGGUGAGGUAAAGGCUCACGAAGGCGACGAUACAUAGCCGACCUGGGAGGGUGGACGACCCAACUGGGAACUGGAAAAGGCCCAGAAUUCCACGGGGGGGAGCAGGAGGGAAAUUUCGGAAAUGGGCGGAAGUCCGAACGAGCAACGCCGGGUGAGUGAAGAAGGGUUUUGGAGCGUAAAGCUAUGUUGUGAGAGGAGCGGUAACUAACCAGAAAGGGCCGGCUAACUACGUGCCAGCAGCCGCGGUAAUAC
rnacentral:rRNA from 1 species